rnacentral:misc_RNA from 1 species
UACAGAGACUGCAAGCGUUAUUCGGAUUUAUUGGGUUUAAAGGGUGCGUAGGCGGAUAUUUAAGUCAGUGGUGAAAGUUUGCGGCUCAACCGUAAAAUUGCCAUUGAUACUGGAUAUCUUGAGUAUAGUUGAGGUAGGCGGAAUUCAUGGUGUAGCGGUGAAAUGCAUAGAUACCAUGAAGAACACCAAUAGCGUAGGCAGCUUACUAAACUAUAACUGACGCUGAGGCACGAAAGCGUGGGGAGCGAACAGG